rnacentral:SRP_RNA from 1 species
GUCCAGGUGCUAUGCAAGCGGCUCCCGCUGAACCCCGCCAGAUCCGGAAGGAAGCAACGGCAGGCGGACGGCUGCUGUGCCGUAGAUUACCUGGACUCU